AAUGAUGUCGCUGUUGGUUACUUUGCAGGUAACAAUGUUACGCUGAUGACAUAGUUUAUUUAGCUCUCAAGAAUGGCUGCUUAUCGUUCAAGAAUCUGGACAACUACUUCUAUUUCGUAUUCAUACUAAAACUUCUAUGAAGCAACAAAUUUUCCUUCUUGUGAAUUUGUUCUGAAGCUACUAAAAUAUCCCCUUGUACUAAAAUAAGAUUUCUACUCAAAUUUUGUCAAGAUACUAAAUUUUACUUGCUUGCUCAUGCCUUAAAAUCUACCUUGUUGCCGAAAUUUAAUGAGGAGCUCAAGGGAAAAAAUGAACCAAGGAGAAGGGAUCCAGAGAAGGAGAAUUAAGAUGUGCCUUUCACUUAUAAUUUCUAAACACUACAGGAAUCAUGAUAUCGUGUUAGCAUAAUUGCAUGGUUACGUGUUAGAAGUGUGAAUGUGGGAGGCUUGGCCGGGGGAUUGUGAGCUGGAGAUUGUGGAGGAAAAUAAACAAGACUGAUUUGACUGUAAAAAAAUGUUGAUGUGCUUUUUAUGAAAUAUUUGGCCAAUCAUGUGUUGCAACGUGGGCACAUAUUUUCAUAGUUCUAUAUCAGUCAUAUCUGACAGAGAUCUGGAUGUUCGGUAUAUGAUAUGUAGUAUACUAUGCAGACCGCUGUUAAAUAUCAUAUACCCAGCCCGUGUACUACAUAUCAUAUAUCCACUCUGCACACUACAUAUCAUAUACCCAGUCUAAUGAACCAUGCGGUUCUGGCAUGAAGAAAAAUCCGUAUAUGGAUUUUUUUUCAUGGUUCAUGGGACCAACAACAUUGAAAGAGCAUUUCAGCUGUAUGAUUAGGCUUCUUGAAUUCUGACGUGGAGUAUGUGAUCGCGAGCUCACAGGAGCUCGGAAUCACGCCCGUCCAGAAUUGCUAUGAGAUUCGUCGCAUUAAAUGCUAUAGCCAGUUGGUGGGUCCAUGCCGACAAAGGAAAAUUAGGAUAUACGGCACAAUACGCGUCUGACAGAUGGGGCAAGGUGGACGGAGGGGUGCACGGCGUCGCCUGUGCAUGCCUGAGCCGUGGCUCGAGCUUGUCGCAGGCGUCCUGAUCCGUGGAUCAGGUACGGUGCUUUCUGCUAGCGCCGGCAGUGCCCGAACUAAAUGCAGUAGUUGGGUCAGUCGCUGGUUACGGGGGUGAAGUUGGAUUUGCCUCUCGUCCCGGUCGGUGAAGAGGUGGAGAUAUUUACUCCGGCGACGGCGACUGGGCGGUGCAGCGACCUCGGACAGGCUCCGGCGACCAUGGAGUUCUUACUGCAGCCGCUAAACAGGUUGGGAUCUGCUACUUGGCCCAUUAUUUUCAAUGGUUUUGACUCGGAUUUUGGGUACUGAUCUAGAUUUCGUCGCUUAAAAUUUUGGGUUGGUUAAGUAGAACAUUCCUGGAAGAGGUGAAUGAUAACAACGGGGCAAUGGAGCCCGUGCGGUUCCCAGUAUCCGCGGUGGCUGAGGUUGAGGAUCCAGCACCGGCCGCUUCAAGUGCUGACGGGCAGAUCUGCGGGGCGGAGGCAGCAGGCGCGGACAUGGCUCAGUGCUCCGAGCACUCAAUGGAGCAAAUUGACCCAAAAACACCAGGGCGGACGCAAAGGUACUACAACUUACCAUCUGAAUUGCAUCAAAAUUUGGCACUGCAAAUGUGUGUGUCCUGUCAGAUAUGCAAGCAGUAACUGAUGAAAUGAGGGUGGAACAGUAUACAUAACCGUGAUUAAAUAGCAUGAACACCACCAGUAUAUAUACGUGUGUGUGGGAAGGUUUUAUAAACUUGUUUAGGAUAAUAUAGUGUGAACUGCAAUUUUGUAAGAUGUUAGUGUAGCUCAGAAUUUUGUGGACUGGAAUUUCAUAACAAAUGGCUGCAGCUGAAAACACCACCUGAUUGUUUCUCUGCUGUGACUGGGCAGAGUGCAUGUAGGUGCUGCUGCUCUACGAAGGCCUCCGUGCCCGGACAGGGUCACGGCGCUGGAGAAGACUGACAGGGAAUUUGCCGAGCAUCCAGGUGACAUAGUUAUGGUGCCAAAGAUUGGAACAAAUUUUGACACGCUCGGAGAAGCUUAUGACUUUUAACUCCUGGAAGAAAGGAUUUGGAAUACGAUAUGGAAAGAGCAGGCUAAACGUUAGCAGGACUAAGUGUAUGCAAGAUAUAGUCUGUGGAUGCGCGGUACGGCUAAUGUUACAGCAGAAAUUGAUUACUAAUUUUUCAUAAAGAACAGAUUUGAAAAUGCCUGUGACUGAAUCUGACUUUUUGUUUGUUCCAUCAGGGGAAGCCAAUCGUUGAAAAUACUCGUUCAUGCCGGUGUGAAUGCCCAGCCCUCAUCAGACUACUGCGGACAAAGGACAAUGGAUGGUACGUAGCAGAGCACCGAGAUGGGCACAACCAUGCACUUUCCCAAACAUAUGGACAGACAAUACACUGGCCUACGGCAGUGAGCGCGGAAGCACGGAUCUGCGUGAUGGACACAGCAGCGGUGGUCAAUGAGGGACAGCUCGCGUCAGGCCUCGGAGCUCUGAACUGGAAAGAUGAAUCCACAUGCUUCUAUCUGGAAUUAGAGGUGAGGAAAAUACGUUUCAUUUUUUCUUUAGCUGCUUAGAGUUAAUUUUGCCCAUUUAGAAUCCAGACUACUGUAAGUUGCUUUUGAAAUCCUGGGUGAAUGGUCCAGUUAGACUGAUGGAUGUUGUUUACUGGAAUAAGAAUUUUGCACUGUAUAUUAAUUCAUUAGUUGAGAGUGCAGCAUGUUGUUUACUGGAUUCAGUUAGUUCAGUUGAUUGAGGUAACUGAAAGAGUCCUGCCUGGAUGGUCCAUGAUGGAUGUUGUUUACUGGAGUUAACAGUUUUCGAUGGUCUAGUAAUUUAUUUAUUGGGAGUGCAGCAUGUUGUUUACUGGUUCAAGUUAAUUGAGGCAAGUAGUCAGGUUGCGGAAUGGUGCUGCUGCCCCCAGCAUGCACCUUGCCCAUAUCGGGUGAGCGCUUUCAAGAAGGCAGUUAGGAUGUUUGCAGAGAACCCGAGCAAUAAUGUUAUCACUCCAGCGCUUGGGACAAGUAUCGACUCACUUGGCGAGGCGUAUAAUUUAUAGAACUUGUAUUCUUGGGAAAGGGGUUUUUGAAUUUGACAUGGAAAGAGUAGGUUGAAUGUUUAGAGAACGAAAUGCAUGCAAAAAAUAGUAUGGGGAUGCUCGGUACGUAUGACAUGUGGAGCACUAUGGUUACUUAUUUGGGGUUCAUUUAAUUGGGGUUGAUUUUUAAUCGAUUCAUGAUUGUUAUUUGCUCUGAUAAAAUAAAAUACAUAUGUAGGAUAAAGCUGGUGUUGAGAACACGAGGUCUUGUCGUUGCGAAUGCCCGGCUCUAAUAAGACUGCUACGGGCAGAGGACAAUGGGUGGUACAUUGCAGAGCACAGAGAGAGUCACAACCAUUCCCUUUCACUGAAUUUGGGUGAGACGAUCCACUAGCCCUCGCACAAGCACAUAGAUGUGUUCGGCUGGUGACUACAUGUUCUCGUCUCUUUGAUCGUUCUUUUUUCAGAUCUGAAACUGCACUGCAUCAGUGGUGAUUGAACUCAAGUUCUCGCCGGAUUUCCAUUGAUUGAGGAGGUGGACGGCACGUAAUGCUUGAGGUGUCCGUCUAGGACACCGGUGGCCGCGGAUGCCAUUGAUGUCCAUCAGGUGUCGACAGCAGCCAUUAGUGCCGAAGGGCAGGUCUGUGAGCUGGCUGCUAGUGUGGGCUCCGGGAAGGAGAGCUCCCCGCCGGAAUUGGAGCUGUCUGCGGGGAAACUCAAUCCGCAAGCACCAUGGUUGGCAAUGAGGUUAGUGUUUGACAUAAUAAUUUUAGUAGAUGUGCGGAAACAUUCAUUGCUGCAGUGUGGUAAGACUGUACUUACAAGGUGUGUCAUGCAUUUCCGACAGAAAUAUGUAGCAGCAACCAGUUUUUUUCACUUCAAUUGUAUUGAGCAAAGCUGAGUUGCAGUGUGGUCAACUGGUAAAACUCCCUUUUAAAUAGAAAAAAGACACUAGUGAAAUAUGUUCAGAAAAAAUCUUAUAAGUUUUUAAGGGACAUCAGGUUGCACUUUGUAAUUUGUAGGAAAGCUACAAACCGUUGAAAUAGAAAUGCUAUUCGCACAGACUUUUUAAAGGGCUAAGUUGCGGCAUUGCUUGUAAGAUGUAUGCUCCCUCCAUGUCAGAACUGAAGUCGCAAUAACCUUUAGAAAUAAGUGUUGUGUGAUUUGGUGAUUACCAAAAAAUAGAAUGUAGUGGAACUGUAUGCUGAUUAAGGUGUUUAGGAAACGCUAGGUGCAUCCACUCAUCCAGUACAUUUCUUUUUGGAAGUACACUGACUCGUUCGUGUGCUUGAAGCUGGACAUGAAACAACAGUGUGGUAGUUAUAUGGUGCGGUACUGACUAAACUGGGGUGUCAUUUAUAAGCAGGAUUCGCAUUGGAUCAGCGAGUCCAUUUAGAGGCAGCGUGGUCAAGUUAGCCGGACUGUGGGCGCCCGCAAUAAUAAAAGAGAUUGGGAGACCAUGCAGACCUGCUCACUGCAAGAACCACGGUGUACAGGGUCACUCGAGAUUUUUUUUGUACAAGCCGGGUGAAAUGAGACUGGGUUCAGGGGCUUGAGUCGGCGUUCAUGCCAAAUGGUUAGACAGUUGGGUUCGAAUUCCCUCCAGUUGUGCAUCACAAAGAGUUUUUAGUUAUGUCAACGUGCGUGUGUUAUUUCUGCUGUAAUGAUCCUCUAUUUCCUUUGUGGACAAAGAAUUGGCUCAAUGGGACUAAUAUGGUACGUGAAUUUUAGACUGAACGACAAUUGAUGUGCAUCUAAACUUCAUGUCCUAUUUGUACGUGGCAGUAUUACUCGUGUGAGCUGUAGGCAGAAAUUGGUUAGGAUCUAAUCCUUGCUCUGUUUUGAAUUCUGAGACAAGGAACAAUUGACGGGCGGUAGAAGGCUCGGGGUCGGAGAAAAUGGCUCAGCUCGUUAGCGAUCCAUCUGUCCCGAUUCUAGGGGACGGCAACAGGCUUAAUAAAUGUUGGGCCAUAGUGGGCCAAGCAACAGAUUGAUGGGACAUAUACUAUUUGGAAUACGCCUGCUUAUACACUGGGAUGUCCGAAUCUUGCAGAGAAACAAUGUGGGAGAUAAUGAGAGUCUGUGCGCUCGAGCUCAAUUCAGCAUUUUCGAUCCCGUCUCCAAGUUUUAAUGUUUGAUCUGCGUGUUAUUGACCUAAGAGAAAAUGGGUUCUGAAGCUUCGAUAUGAUGUAUUUCUAACAAAUAGCGACGAAAUCAAUACCUCACACGGGCAAUUACUCUUAUAUGGUUUGAUGCUUGAAAAAUUGUAGAGUCAGCACCUCUUUUUAAAGUGUACACGAUGCAAUAAAAAAAAGCAUCUUGAGUGCCAUGCCCAGGUACAGUUUUAAUGCUUAUAGCUGUAUUUUGUUCCAUUAGAAAAUACAACUAUAUUUUAUUCCUGAUAGGGCAAUCUUAUACGGGGAAAAUUACUCCUGAAUGUGUAUAACUAUAUAAUGUUCCUACAGAUGUACUUUGUUCCAUUAAAAACAUAGUAUUUCUGCUAUCUCAGUUGGAUGGCCACUGUUAUGUCAAUUUGAUGGCCACUAUGUUUUGCUACGGCAGAAGAUUCAACUAUAUUUUGCUAAUACAAGUACAACACUCAACCUCUGCUAUGCCAAUUCGAUGGCCACUACAUAUUCAGACGGGCAAUGAACCAAAUAACUCUUUCACUGGGCCACUGAUAAUAUUAUUGGUCGAGCUGAUUAGGGAAGUAAACUAUAUACAACAAUAAAGUGAAGUUGAACUGUUUAGAGAAGUAAAAUAUACAGAAGUAAUCUGAAGUACACUUGGAUCCAAAAGAUGUUGGUGGAAAUACUUCAACAAGCUUGAUGCAUUCAUUAUUCUGUAAUACUAGGAUUAACAAUGAUGUCGCUGUUGGUUACUUUGCAGGUAACAAUGUUACGCUGAUGACAUAGUUUAUUUAGCUCUCAAGAAUGGCUGCUUAUCGUUCAAGAAUCUGGACAACUACUUCUAUUUCGUAUUCAUACUAAAACUUCUAUGAAGCAACAAAUUUUCCUUCUUGUGAAUUUGUUCUGAAGCUACUAAAAUAUCCCCUUGUACUGAAAUAAGAUUUCUACUCAAACUUUGUCAAGAUACUAAAUUUUACUUGCUUGCUCAUGCCUUAAAAUCUACCUUGUUGCCGAAAUUUAAUGAGGAGCUCAAGGGAAAAAAUGAACCAAG
rnacentral:lncRNA from 1 species